rnacentral:rRNA from 1 species
CCUACGGGAGACAGCAGUGAGGAAUAUUGGUCAAUGGACGAGAGUCUGAACCAGCCAAGUAGCGUGAAGGAUGACUGCCCUAUGGGUUGUAACCUUCUUUUAUAAAGGAAUAAAACGCGGCACGUGUGCCUUUUUGCAUGUACUUUAUGAAUAAGGAUCGGCUAACUCCGUGCCAGCAGCCGCGGUAAUACGGAGGAUCUGAGCGUUAUCCGGAUUUAUUGGGUGUAAAGGGAGCGUAGAUGGGUUGUUAAGUCAGUUGUGAAAGUUUGCGGCUCAACCGUAAAAUUGCAAUUGAUACUGGCAGUCUUGAGUACAGUUGAGGUAAGCGGAAUUCGUGGUGUAGCGGUGAAAUGCUUAGAUAUCACGAAGAACCCCGAUUGCGAAGGCAGCUUACUAAACUGUGACUGACAUUGAUGCUCGAAAGUGUGGGUAUCAAACAGGAUUAGAUACCCUGGUAGUC